UACGUAGGGUGCAAGCGUUAAUCGGAAUUACUGGGCGUAAAGCGUGCGCAGGCGGUUUUGUAAGACAGAUGUGAAAUCCCCGGGCUCAACCUGGGAACUGCAUUUGUGACUGCAUCGCUGGAGUACGGCAGAGGGGGAUGGAAUUCCGCGUGUAGCAGUGAAAUGCGUAGAUAUGCGGAGGAACACCGAUGGCGAAGGCAAUCCCCUGGGCCUGUACUGACGCUCAUGCACGAAAGCGUGGGGAGCAAACAGG
rnacentral:rRNA from 1 species